rnacentral:rRNA from 1 species
AGGACGAACGCUGGCGGCGUGCUUAACACAUGCAAGUCGAGCGGAAAGGCCCUUCGGGGUACUCGAGCGGCGAACGGGUGAGUAACACGCGAGCAACCUGCCCUUAGCUUCGGGAUAGCUCCGGGAAACCGGAAUUAAUACCGAAUAUGACUGCGGCUGACAUCAGCCACGGUGGAAAGUUUUUCGGCUAGGGAUGGACUCGCGGCCUAUCAGCUAGUUGGUGAGGUAACGGCCCACCAAGGCGACGACGGGUA